rfam:Candidatus Harrisonbacteria bacterium RIFCSPLOWO2_02_FTLL_45_10c rifcsplowo2_02_scaffold_16452, whole genome shotgun sequence.
UAACGAUCGGAGAACUGUCUCAACGAAGAGCUCGGUGAAAAUGCGAUUCCCGUGAAGACGCGGGAUACCUGCAAUGGGACGAAAAGACCCCAGAAGCUUUACUGUAGUUUGGUAUUGGCUUUAAAAAUUAGAUGCGUAGCGUAGUGGUGAGGAUUCGAAGUCCGCCUUUCGGGGCGGAUGGAUCCGACAAUGAAACAGCCAUCUUUUGAUUUUUAAAUUCUAACCUGCCACGCAAAACGUGGUGGAGACAGUGCCUGAUUGGCAGUUUUAAUGGGGCAUUACCCUCCUAAAGAGUAAUGGAGGGGUUUAUUAAGGUCGGCUUNNNNNNNNNNNNNNNNNNNCUGGACGCGUAAAGGCAAAAGCCGGCUUAACUGCAAGACUGACAAGUCGAGCAGAUGCGAAAGCAGAACUUAGUGACCCGACAAUCCUUCGUAGAAAGGUUGGAGACAUCGGACAAAAGUUACUCUGGGGAUAACAGGCUAGUUUGGUCCGAGAGUUCCUAUCGACGACCAAGCUCGGCACCUCGAUGUCGGCUCAUCCUAGCGCCCCGCUGGAGAAGGUGGGAAGCGUAUGGCUGUUCGCCAUUUAAAAGGAUACGUGAGCUGGGUUCAAACCGUCAGAAAAUUGAACCCUAAAACAUUCGCUUUGCGAAUGUUCGGGCAACCCGUAAGGGUUUAGCCUGAGACAUUGAGAGUUAUCAAACNNNNNNNNNNNNCCGUAAGGCUAAGUGGAAAAAAAUCAACUCAUAUCGGUGGAGUCCUAAAUAUUGCGAAACCUGGAUUUUAGGAUAAUACCGAGGGAAGCUCUGUGCAGAGCCCCGUAGAGACUUUGUUCGUCAUAUAUAUGACGAACGGAUUCCAAUCCGCCAGCUGGCGGAUGGGAUAAUACGUUGAUCUCCCGUAAAAUCACUUAUUAGUGAUCACGGGAUGGUGGUAUAGUCCAAACAUUUAGUAAUAAGUGAUUAUUGCGUGAGACAGGUUGGUCUCUACCUAUUGUAGGCGGGGGCGUGAACAACGCCCAUACACACCUGAGGGAAGUCGAUUCUAGUAGAGUGCAGAGCACUCAUUGCUACUUCAUGAAGUAAUUUAUGAUGACAAUUUGGCUAAUAACGGUGAAGUCUUAGUAAUGCAUUGGUUCAUUGUUAACCGUAAUUAACAGUCGGUUCUAUUAAUUACGGAACAGUUACUUGAGGACCAAGAGUAUGUUAAGAUAAUACCGUGGGAAGUCGAUCUAAAAUUGAUUUAGCUUAUAUCGCCGGUUUUCUUGAUGGAGACGGAAGCUUAAUGCUUCAGCUUAAAAAGCGAAAAGAUGGUAAAGCAAAAAUAAGAUUUAUGCUCACUAUCUGUUUUUAUCAAGAUACGCGGCACGAAAAACCUUUAUACUGGAUUCGUAAUAUACUCGGCAUAGGUUAUAUUUCUAGAAGAAAUGAUGGCAUGACAGAAUUAAGAAUUAAUGGCUACAAACAAGUUAGAAAUAUAAUUAAAGAUUUAUUGCCGUAUAUUCGUUUUAAAAAAUAUCAGGCCAAAGCCUUAUUCGAAGCUUCAGAUAUUUUAUGUAGAGGAAAUAUCAAUAAGUUAAAUAAAAACGAACUCAAAACUUUAGUAAAUCUAAUAUUAGUAAUCCAAAAGGAAAAUUAUGUUACUAAGAAAAAGAAAACUAAAGAAGAGUUAUAUAAAAUUUUAGAUUUGACCCCGUAACGACUUGUUCCCGAUACUUAUCGGGACGGAAUGAGAAAAUAUGAAGUUUAUUUUCUUAUUAAUACGCCAACAUCCUAACCAAGUCAGACUUGGCGGAUGAAGAUAUAGUCUGCGCACAUAGUGAUAUGUGAUGGCGACUCCCGAACAAAUUCAACGAUUAUUGGCCAGAAAGAUUUUUUCUCUUUAAUUUUGAGCUUCCAAUAUAUCGCUGUAUUUGUUCGGGAAUCGCUCGUGACGAGAGGACCGAAUUGAACGAGCCGCUGGUCUGCCAGCUUUGGUACCAACUGAAGUGCUGGGUAGCUAUUGCUCGGAAGGGAUAAGCGCUGAAAGCAUCUAAGCACGAAGCCCAACCCAAGACUAGGUGUAGGAUCCUGGAAGACUACCAGGUUGAUAGGCUCUAGGUGUACGCACAGCAAUGUGUUUAGCCGAGGAGUACUAAUAAUCCGAUUUUUCUUCUA